rnacentral:hammerhead_ribozyme from 1 species
GUGCUGCCGAAGAGUCCCAGAAUAGGACGAAACAUUUACCCAGUAC